UAUGACCAUAUCACAUUGAAAUACCGGUUCUCCUAUGAUCACUGAAGUUAAGCAGUGUCAAGUCUGGUUAGUACCUAGAUGGGUGACCAUUUUGGGAAAACCA